UUACUUUAUGUCUUUAUCACUCUGUUUUUUGUUUCUAUUUUCCUCUCUUCCUAUUCUUCUCCUUCAGUUCUUCUUCAUCUUCAGUUCCACUUUCGUCUUUCUCCUCUUCUUCAGUUUGUUUUUCCGUUCGUCGAUUAUGAUCUUCUUCUCAUUCUUUAUGUUCCUAAUCCAAGUGGGAUGUGAAGAUUAUAAAGUUUGUGUACACACCAAGGUAGAGGAUGUCAUUGUACGAUGUCACUGUACCUGAUGGUUCCAACCUUCAGGGGAGUCGCGCACUGGAGGCAACGCCAGCGGUGGUGGUAGGGUUACGGCGGUAGAUGAGGUGGUGACUGCUAUUGUGGUGUACGAUGGUGGUCGCAAUGGUUGUCGUGGAGUUCAUGGUGGUUAUCGAUGUUGUAGUGUAUUGAGUGACGGCCACAAAGAGUACAUGCAGUGAGACUAUGAAAGCAGAGAACAUAAGAAUGACGACCAGAACAGAGCAGUGAGAUCUAACCGGCGGCCAAAUCAGAUUUGCAUGGUUCGAUGAGUUUGGAGGUUCAGUUCCUUAUCCACGUGCUGAAAUUUUGCAUUUAUAGUUGCAAGCAGAAAGGGAAAGCAUUUGUCAAUUAUUUCAUGGAAACUUAAUUAUUACAUUAGAUGCCAUUAAUUGUUGAACAUUGCUUAGAAGUUGGAACCCAUUCAACAUUGCUGUGACAAUAUUGAGCAUUCAUUGGUCAUUGAGGUACUGUUGAUUUUCUUUUUUCAUAGCUUUUUUUUUUCAGGAAAUUAACAGCUUAGAUAUCGAGACUCCAACGUUGAAAGGAAGAUCUUGAAACUGAAUUUAAAAAGCAUUCUGAGAUUUUUACACCUUUUGUACCCUCCAAGAGAGAAAUUCAGAUUAUCAAAGAUGUUAGCAGAAUAAUAGAACCAUCAAGAAAACAGAACAGAGAAGGGAGAAGAGAAGCUGACACCAUCAUGUAUCCUGG